UACGUAGGGUCCAAGCGUUACUCGGAAUUACUGGGCGUAAAGCGUGCGCAGGCGGUUCUGAAAGUCAGCUGUGAAAGCCCCGGGCUUAACCUGGGAAUUGCGGUUGAAACUACAGGGCUAGAAUCUGGCAGAGGGGGGUGGAAUUCCACGUGUAGCAGUGAAAUGCGUAGAGAUGUGGAGGAACACCGAUGGCGAAGGCAGCCCCCUGGGCUGAGAUUGACGCUCAGGCACGAAAGCGUGGGGAGCAAACAGG
rnacentral:rRNA from 1 species